GGUUGAUCCUGCCAGUAGUCAUAUGCUUGUCUCAAAGAUUAAGCCAUGCAUGUCUAAGUAUAAGCUUUUAUACGGCGAGACUGCGGAUGGCUCAUUAAAUCAGUUAUAGUUUAUUUGAUGGUUCCUUUUUAUUUUACUACUUGGAUAACCGUAGUAAUUCUAGAGCUAAUACAUGCAUAAAGUCCUGACUGGGGGUUUCUAACGAGCUCCUGGAAGGGAUGUAUUUAUUAGAUAAAAAACCGAUGCAGGGUGGCUUGCUGCCCUGGACCCAACGGUGAUUCAUAAUAACUCU
rnacentral:rRNA from 1 species